rnacentral:rRNA from 1 species
UACGUAGGUGGCAAGCGUUAUCCGGAUUUACUGGGUGUAAAGGGCGUGUAGGCGGGAAAGCAAGUCAGAUGUGAAAACCAUGGGCUCAACCUGUGGCCUGCAUUUGAAACUGUUUUUCUUGAGUACUGGAGAGGCAGACGGAAUUCCUAGUGUAGCGGUGAAAUGCGUAGAUAUUAGGAGGAACACCAGUGGCGAAGGCGGUCUGCUGGACAGCAACUGACGCUGAGGCGCGAAAGCGUGGGGAGCGAACAGG